AUGCCCUGUGUGCCCUGUGGGGUCCGGCUGGAGCUUCUCAACUUUCUGCUCACACCCGGCUCUUUUUCAUGGGAACUACAGAUUCCGUCACAUCUCAAAUGACAAGGAUACCUCCCUGCAGAGUGCUAAUGUAAGACACGCAGGAGUGGGGAUGUCCCCCAGCCCAUACCACGCUGCCUCGCCCAGGUACUCUGGAGAACCUGAUGUGAAUUCUGGGGUGAUUGGUUCCUUUCCUGCCUCCUUUAAGCUGAAAGCACACAGAGAUACAAACAAACAAAAGGAGGGUGGAUAUUUCUUCACCAACUAUUUCCAAUUCGAGUUGCCUCAUGGCUCGGGGUGCUUGUCACCAUAGGACCCACAGGGCCAGUUCCAACUGUUACUCAGUAAGGCUUUUUUCUUUCCAAAAUUCCCAGUGUUCCUUUAAGGCCCAUUUAGCUGCGGGUUUUGUUUAUUCUCCCGGCAAUCAGCAUUUAAAAUAAGACAAACAAGCAUUUUUCCUGGGCUGUUGAAUCCCUGCCGGCCAGCCUCCACCUGCACACCUGAAGCCUAUGUGUCCAAUUGAAUUUCUCAGUAACCUAGAGCCCCUUCAGAGACCUGCCCCCUCCGCCUGUCAGACUGGGAAUCAGGAACUUGAGCAGCGUAAAUGCAAUUUUAAGAAUUGCUAAUGACGCUAGAAAUCUGCAAUGCAAUUAGCGUCAUUGGAUUUGGCUCUCCUCCGAAGGCACAAACCUCCUUGUCAUACUGCGGUGGUGGAAGAGGCAAGUGGGUCCAUGUGUGCCCAGCCCAGCCCUGGGUAUGCUGGCAGCCCCUUCGCACCAAGAUUGAAACGGUGAGAAGAAGAUAGUCCAUGAAGAGAGGCAGAGGCGAGCGGGCACCUGCCACUUCUUCAAAGUCAGCUGAUCAUUUGGAAUGAUGGACGGCGCGGCCGCCGAUGACGUCUCCUUUCAAGUCUCUUUGUCUAAGUGAAUUAUCGUGCGUCCUUUUAAUUUUAUUGAACAAAUUACAUUUGUCAAGGUCUAUCUUUGUAAAUAAAUGAUAACUAGAGACACA